rnacentral:rRNA from 1 species
UACGUAGGGUGCAAGCGUUGUCCGGAAUUAUUGGGCGUAAAGCGCACGUAGGUGGUUCGUUAAGUCGGAUGUGAAAGCCCUCGGCUCAACUGAGGAAGUGCACCCGAAACUGGCGAGCUUGAGUACGAAAGAGGAUCGCGGAAUUCCCGGUGUAGAGGUGAAAUUCGUAGAUAUUGGGAAGAACACCGGUGGCGAAGGCGGCGACCUGGUCCUUGACUGACGCUGAGGCGCGAAAGCGUGGGGAGCAAACAGG